GGAGUUAGCCGGUGCUUCUUCUGCGAGUAACGUCACAGAUGUAAGGUAUUAACUUACACCCUUUCCUCCUCGCUGAAAGUGCUUUACAACCCGAAGGCCUUCUUCACACACGCGGCAUGGCUGCAUCAGGGUUUCCCCCAUUGUGCAAUAUUCCCCACUGCUGCCUCCCGUAGGAGUCUGGGCCGUGUCUCAGUCCCAGUGUGGCUGAUCAUCCUCUCAGACCAGCUAGGGAUCGUCGCCUAGGUGAGCCUUUACCUCACCUACUAGCUAAUCCCACCUGGGCUUAUCCAUCAGCGCAAGGCCCGAAGGUCCCCUGCUUUCCCCCGUAGGGCGUAUGCGGUAUUAGCAGUCGUUUCCAACUGUUAUCCCCCACAAAUGGGCAAAUUCCCAGGCAUUACUCACCCGUCCGCCGCUCGUCAUCUUCAAAAGCAAGCUUUUGAAAUGUUACCGCUCGACUUGCAUGUGUUAGGCCUGCCGCCAGCGUUCAAUCUGACACGAUCGAAAUUCAANCUGACUCGGGACUGGGGCAGGGCAACGCGUACG
rnacentral:rRNA from 1 species